GCAUUGGUGGUUCAGUGGUAGAAUUCUCAC
rnacentral:piRNA from 5 species